UGAGGAAUAUUGGUCAAUGGGCGGGAGCCUGAACCAGCCAAGCCGCGUGGAGGGAAGAAGGCGCUCAGCGUCGUAAACCUCUUUAGCCGGGGAACAAAGAGCUGCUCGGGAAGCAGCGUUGAGCGUACCCGGAGAAUAAGCAUCGGCUAACUCCGUGCCAGCAGCCGCGGUAAUACGGAGGAUGCGAGCGUUAUCCGGAUUUAUUGGGUUUAAAGGGUGCGCAGGCGGACGCGCAAGUCUGCGGUGCAAAAUUUCCGGGGGCUCCAACCCCAGGACCGCCGUGGAAACUGUGCGACUGGAGUGGGCGAGAGGCAUGCGGAAUGCGCGGUGUAGCGGUGAAAUGCUUAGAGAUCGCGCAGAACUCCGAUUGCGAAGGCAGCAUGCCGGCGCCUUACUGACGGCUCAUGCACGAAAGCGUGGGGAUCGAACAGGAUUAGAUACC
rnacentral:rRNA from 1 species